AAGAUGGCCGACGCGGCCGCCACAGCUGGGGCCGGUGGCUCCGGAACGAGAUCGGGAAGUAAACAGUCCACUAACCCUGCCGAUAACUAUCACCUGGCCCGGAGGAGAACCCUGCAGGUGGUUGUGAGCUCCUUGCUGACAGAGGCAGGGUUUGAGAGUGCCGAGAAAGCAUCCGUGGAAACGCUGACAGAGAUGCUGCAGAGCUACAUUUCAGAAAUUGGGAGAAGUGCCAAGUCUUACUGUGAGCACACAGCCAGGACCCAGCCCACACUGUCAGAUAUCGUGGUCACACUUGUUGAGAUGGGUUUCAAUGUGGACACUCUCCCUGCUUAUGCAAAACGGUCUCAGAGGAUGGUCAUCACUGCUCCUCCGGUGACCAAUCAGCCAGUGACCCCCAAGGCCCUCACUGCAGGGCAGAACCGACCCCACCCGCCGCACAUCCCCAGCCAUUUUCCUGAGUUCCCUGAUCCCCACACCUACAUCAAAACUCCGGGUCUCACUUUGUCGCCCAGGCUGCUGGAGUGCAAUGGGGCGAUCUCAGCUCACCACAGCCUCGACCUCCUAGGCUCAAGUGAUCCUGCCACCUCAACCUCCCAAGUAGCUGGGACUACAGGGGUGCACCACCAUGCCCAGCUAAUUUUUGUAUCUUCUGUAGAGACAGGAUAUCACCAUGUUGCCCAGGCUGGUCUCAAACUCCUGGGCGCAAGCAGUUCACCCAGGCAUGGGUACAUACUCCAGUAUAUGUUUGCUUAUUUAUAUGAAUAUUAUAAUGUAACAUUGUACAAAAUAAUGUACAUUAAAAGAUAAUCUUACCCUUUUAAGAUGUUCAGGAAAGCUAUAACCUUUUCUAGUGGGAGCAAUUGCCUCUGCUUUUUAUUUUUUGAAAUCAUAGGGUUUUUGUUUGUUUUGUUGUUGUUGUUUGUUUUGUUAUUGUUAUUUUAUAGAGAUGGGGACAGGUUUUUUGUCUUUCUGUGGUGCCCAAGCUGGUCUUGAACUCCUAGCCUUAAGUAGUCUUUGCACCUUGGCCUCCCAGAGUGCUGGGAUUACAGGCAUGCACCACUGCG
rnacentral:sRNA from 1 species